GCCCCGUCCAAAUCCUUGAAGGUUCAGCCUCUGCUGACGUCUCCAUUUUCCUCAGAAAGAGUGUUGACAACUUGUCAGUGGCUCUAAAAGCCAUGUGGCUGGGUCACAUGACCCUUGGGAGCUAAGCCCUGCAGGACCUUGUCUCUUGCCAGAUGCUCCACCUAGCUAGCCCAUCCGUCAGAGAGGCCUCCCGUUCUGUGCAUUGGCCUGAGUUGACAGAGAGAGAGAUGGAAGAAGAGACUCCAGAUGCAAGACAUCCUGUGGACAAGAGCUCGGAAGGGUGCCCUGGGCGUAGCUCUCACAUAAUCCCCGUCUCACACACGAGGAAACUAGAGCCCAGGAAAGUUAAGUAACUUGGCCGAAGUCGCAGAGCGUCAGAACCGGGCCUGAGUCCAGGCUGGCGGCUGACGGGAGGACAGCGAAGGAGCUGAGAGCCGUCCUGCCUUGCGGACCCUGGCGUCGGGAAGCUGAGAGUCCACAGGGCAGAGACGCGGGAGCCGUACGUGCGAGGCGGCAGCCGGGCUCUCCUCCCCGCGCUGCUACCUCAGUGGCUGUGUGACCUUGCUCAGUCUCUGGAUCUUUCCACUCUUGCUUUCUUCAUCUGUAAAACUGGAAUGACCACACUCCUCUCAAAGCGUUUUUGGAAUUGAUGAAAAACCCAGACCAAACGUGUAGCCCGCCGCAGGGGCACUUAGGCUCCGCUGCCGGGGCGCGUUUGCGUAAAGCCCCGGCCACCCUGGCCCGGCAGCACUGAGGGCGCCU